rnacentral:rRNA from 1 species
UAAGUCUGAUGUGAAAGCCCCCGCGCUCAACCGGAGGAGGGUCAUUGGAAACUGGGUGAACUUGAGUGCAGAAGAGGAGAAUGGAAUUCCACGUGUAGCGGUGAAAUGCGUAGAGAUGUGGAGGAACACCAGUGGCGAAGGCGACUCUCUGGUCUGUAACUGACGCUGAGGCGCGAAAGCGUGGGGAGCGAACAGGAUUAGAUACCCUGGUAGUCCACGCCGUAAACGAUGAGUGCUAAGUGUUAGAGGGUUUCCGCCCUUUAGUGCUGCAGCAAACGCAUUAAGCACUCCGCCUGGGGAGUACGGUCGCAAGACUGAAACUCAAAGGAAUUGACGGGGGCCCGCACAAGCGGUGGAGCAUGUGGUUUAAUUCGAAGCAACGCGAAGAACCUUACCAGGUCUUGACAUCCUCUGACAACCCUAGAGAUAGGGCUUCCCCUUCGGGGGCAGAGUGACAGGUGGUGCAUGGUUGUCGUCAGCUCGUGUCGUGAGAUGUUGGGUUAAGUCCCGCAACGAGCGCAACCCUUGAUCUUAGUUGCCAGCAUUCAGUUGGGCACUCUAAGGUGACUGCCGGUGACAAACCGGAGGAAGGUGGGGAUGACGUCAAAUCAUCAUGCCCCUUAUGACCUGGGCUACACACGUGCUACAAUGGGCAGAACAAAGGGCAGCGAAGCCGCGAGGCUAAGCCAAUCCCACAAAUCUGUUCUCAGUUCGGAUCGCAGUCUGCAACUCGACUGCGUGAAGCUGGAAUCGCUAGUAAUCGCGGAUCAGCAUGCCGCGGUGGAAUACGUUUCCCGGGG